rnacentral:rRNA from 1 species
GAUGAACGCUAGCGGCAGGCCUAAUACAUGCAAGUCGAGGGGCAGCGGGGUAGCAAUACUGCCGGCGACCGGCGCACGGGUGCGUAACACGUAUGCAACCUACCUUAAACUGGGGGAUAGCCCGGGGAAACUCGGAUUAAUACUCCAUAACACAGGGAUCCCGCAUGGGAAUAUUGUUAAAGCUACGGCGGUUGAAGAUGGGCAUGCGUUCGAUUAGCUAGUUGGUGUAGGUAACGGCUCACCAAGGCUACGAUCGAUGGGGGUUCUGAGAGGAUGAUCCCCCACACUGGUACUGAGAUACGGACCAGACUCCUACGGGAGGCAGCAGUAGGGAAUAUUGGUCAAUGGAGGCAACUCUGAACCAGCCAUGCCGCGUGUAGGAAGAAGGCGUUCUGCGUUGUAAACUACUUUUGAUUGGGAACAAAUGACUCUUGCGAGAGUAGCUGAGUGUACCAAUGGAAUAAGCCA